CCUACGGGAGGCUGCAGUGGGGAAUAUUGCACAAUGGGGGAAACCCUGAUGCAGCGACGCCGCGUGAGCGAUGAAGUAUUUCGGUAUGUAAAGCUCUAUCAGCAGGGAAGAAAAUGACGGUAACUGACUAAGAAGCCCCGGCUAACUACGAGCCAGCAGCCGCGGGAAUACGUAGGGGGCAAGCGUUAGCCGGAUUGACGGGGUGGAAAGGGAGCGUAGACGGUCCUGCAAGCCAGAUGUGAAAGCCCGGGGCUCAACCCCGGGACUGCAUUUGGAACUGUAAGGCUAGAGUGUCGGAGAGGCAGGCGGAAUUCCUAGUGUAGCGGUGAAAUGCGUAGAUAUUAGGAGGAACACCAGUGGCGAAGGCGGCCUGCUGGACGAUGACUGACGUUGAGGCUCGAAAGCGUGGGGAGCAAACAGGAUUAGAUACCCCUGUAGUC
rnacentral:rRNA from 1 species